AGCUGAAUGGCGCAGCGGAAGCGCGCCGGGCUCAUAACCCGGAGGGCAGCGGAUCGAAACCGCUUUCAGCUA